AUACAGGGGGUGCGAGCGUUAAUCGGAAUUACUGGGCGUAAAGAGUUCGUAGGCGGUUGCUUAAGUCAGAUGUGAAAGCCCCGGGCUCAACCUGGGAACUGCAUUUGAAACUGAGUGACUAGAGUUUAAGAGAGGGGAGUAGAAUUCCGGGUGUAGCGGUGAAAUGCGUAGAGAUCCGGAGGAAUACCAGUGGCGAAGGCGGCUCCCUGGCUUAAAACUGACGCUGAGGUACGAAAGCGUGGGUAGCAAACAGGAUUAGAAACCCGAGUAGUCC
rnacentral:rRNA from 1 species